UACGGAGGGGGCUAGCGUUGUUCGGAAUGACUGGGCGUAAAGGGCGCGUAGGCGGUUUUUUAAGUGAGGCGUGAAAGCCCUGGGCUUAACCCAGGAGGUGCGUUUCAUACUGGAAGACUUGAGUGCGAGAGAGGAAAGUGGAAUCCCUAGUGUAGAGGUGAAAUUCGUAGAUAUUAGGAAGAACACCUGUGGCGAAGGCGGCUUUCUGGCUCGCAACUGACGCUGAGGUGCGAAAGCGUGGGGAGCAAACAGG
rnacentral:rRNA from 1 species